AACGAACGCUGGCGGCAGGCCUAACACAUGCAAGUCGAGCGCGCCCUUCGGGGUGAGCGGCGGACGGGUUAGUAACGCGUGGGAACGUACCUUUCGGUAAGGAAUAGCCUCUGGAAACGGAGAGUAAUACCUUAUACGCCCUUUGGGGAAAGAUUUAUCGCCGAGGGAUCGGCCCGCGUUAGAUUAGAUAGUUGGUGGGGUAACGGCCUACCAAGCCGACGAUCUAUAGCUGGUUUGAGAGGAUGAUCAGCCACACUGGGACUGAGACACGGCCCAGACUCCUACGGGAGGCAGCAGUGAGGAAUCUUGGACAAUGGGGGCAACCCUGAUCCAGCCAUGCCGCGUGAACGAUGAAGGCCUUAGGGUUGUAAAGUUCUUUCAACGGUGAAGAUAAUGACGGUAGCCGUAGAAG
rnacentral:rRNA from 1 species